UACGGAGGGUGCAAGCGUUAUUCGGAAUUACUGGGCGUAAAGGGCGCGCAGGCGGCUCCUUAAGUUGGGCGUGAAAGCCCGGGGCUAAACCCCGGAAGGGCGUCUAAAACUAAGGGGCUUGAGUACGGGAGAGGGAAGUGGAAUUCCUGGUGUAGAGGUGAAAUUCGUAGAUAUCAGGAGGAACACCGGUGGCGAAGGCGACUUCCUGGACCGAUACUGACGCUGAGGCGCGAAAGCGUGGGGAGCAAACAGG
rnacentral:misc_RNA from 1 species